rnacentral:tRNA from 1 species
GGAAUUUGGGAUCCAAGAAUAAGCUUCUAACUUAAUUCUUUAGCGAUGAAACUUCGUUUAUAUUCCU